UUUUACUUAUUAAGAUUUAAGCUUACACAUAUGGUUGAAUUAUUGAAGAAAAAGAUCUGUUACAGCAAGUCAUCACCAUUUUAGUGUUUUAAUAUAUAUAAUAUGUAAAUCUCUGAAAUUAUUUUGAAACGCCAGAAUUUUUUGUCAAUAUAGAAUAUUAUGAGAAUAUUUUCAAAACUGAACCACUGAAAAUCAAUGUCCAUUUCAAAAUGAGCAAUUAUUAUGAGCAAAAACCAUUAAUGCAAAGACUUUUAUUAUAAACUAUAAUUAUUCAAAUAAUUAUAACUUAUUUAUAAUAGCUUAUAAAUGGCAUCGGUAUAUAAAUAUUUCACUUUUUUUUUAAAUAACAAAAACAAUUAGAUAAAACAAUCAAUAUUCCCCAAGGAAGUGAUUCAUUUAAUGAUGAAGUCCAUGAUUUAUUGGUCUUGUCUUUUUAUUAAAUGAGGUUACUUCAUACUGCAUGAUGAGAACGAGCAAUUAGCGUAUGCAAAUGAGAGAGGACUCUGAGCUUUCACUAAUUUUGUGACAGAACAAAGAAAAUUUACAGAGCUUAUAUCUAAAAUGCAAAAUAGUCACAUUAAAAAAAUAUUGUACCCAAGAUAUUUUCUUAAAUUGGACUGAUUUUCAUUGCAGCAUCAUAUUAACAGGAUAUGGAUGCUGCAUAAUGUCUUGGUUGCUUCUGGCUAUGGGAGACUGAUAAAUGUACCACAGAUAUCUGCGAUGUGUGCUCAGGAUCAUUGAGUAUAAUCACUAAUUAACAUACUGCUAUUUGCUCUGUCUGAUCGAACGGCCUCAUUAAGUAACAGAUAAUCCCACAAUAUUCAAAGUUUACAGUACCUUUUUGUUUCUGCUCGCUGAGAUGUUUGCCGAGGCUCCAUACAGGCGUUAUACACAAAUAAAGAGCAGAUGCUGACUUUGAUGUGUGAAUUUGUGCCCCCAAAAAAGUGCAUAUCUGGACCAUCAGAAUUACCCUGGAUGUGAUGAUGGACUGAGAUAUUUGCCAACAUCCAAAGGAUGGUGUUACAAGAGUAAAAUACAUUACAGGAACUAGUGGGAAGAAUAAAAUAUUGAUUUGCUUGUAUGCAAAUGAGCUCAAAUAUGCUCAUUCCUCACAAAUAACCUCUCCCCUCCUCAAACAUUUGGAAACCUGUGUGUGAUCAUGCUUGAGAAACAGAUGUGUGUACAACGGGAUUUGAUUCCGUUGACAUCCGGGGUGAAUACGAUUCCCUUUCUCUCCGUCAGUGUUGUGAAUGUUUCAAAAGCAAACUUUCUUUUUCCUGAGUCGGGGCGCGAGUUCCGCACAGAGAUGUUUGAUGUUUUCCUCUUGUGGAGCUCGACGAGAAGAAGCGAGUUCUUAAUUUAUGAGGACAUAACAAGGAAGCUAUUAAACAAACAUAUUUCCCUGCUUCGGCUGGCAUGAAAGAGCCACUCAGGGCGAGAAAGCCCGCGCUUUGGUUUUGCGAAAAGAUAAUUGCCUAAAUGUUUACAAGUUAGCAAGAGUUUAAAUCGCACUAACGGUUGCGCUAACAACGCAUCAUUCAAGAUGACCGCAUAUAAAGGUAACAAAAGGAAUUAAAAGGCACUUUUCAGUGUAAUACCAAGAGGCUAUAACCAAUUUAAGCGAUUAUAUUGAGGGAUACAGCAUCCAAUUUCCACAAGUGGGGCAGUGGGAAGUGUUUAGGCUAGUUGAAGUACACGUCUUAAUGAGAAAAGACAAAAAAAAAAAAAAAAAAGAAUCCAUGUGCAUGAUUUAUGCAGUCUGUUUCUAGGAGCACAUACAUAAUUAUUUAUGAUCGCUGAGCCCGAGAAAGACGCGUGGAGAAAGAGAAACUGGUAAAAAAUUCAAAAGCAGAAGUAGUUAAAUGAAUAUUUAAGGGACUAUGAAAUAUUUAACGGAAACAAAUGAGAAAAACAUUUAAAACAGCAUGAUAAAUAAUAGUGGGAGUUGUCGGGUGGAGAAAAAAAGCGGCUGCCAUGAGGCCUUAAACAUCCGCGUGGUGUCUGAUCCCGGCCUCGGCGAUUUGUUUUCCAUAUGCCCGUCGUUACGGGGGCACGGUCAGUGUAUGAGGGCUGGCGCGUUGCAGGGGAAUAUUAGCUUUUUGUUGAGAGCGGUUGGAUGGAUGCCAUGGGCUAGUCACAAUUUAAUGUGUCGACUGGUCUGGUACAAGUGGAGGGCAGGACACUGGCAUUGACGAGAAGAAGAGGUGAUGUUUUAUGCCAGAGGACGGUGUUCUGAUGAUUUGUUCGACAAGGAAAAAUGCUAGGCUACCUAACAGAUUGUGCUACCAACAUAACAUUCAUAUGGUGUGAUGUGGUUUGAGGCUCUAUUAGUGUCCAAACUUACCUCAAACCCUAACCCUACCCUUAAAACAAUGCAAAUAUAGUGUUGUUAGCACAUUCUGAUAGGUAGCAUUUUUCGUUAAGACACCGGGCUCUACCUGAAGAGGACAAAUAUGAAGAGUGUAAGGAUUCAGGUAAUUUGUGUGCUGCUUUUAACAACAACAACACUAACAACAAUAUUUGAUUUUUUUCCCAUUAUUUACAGGUAAAAGUCCAAAUUUUAAACAGAAACAGUGUAAUAAUUCACAUUUAAGCCUACUUCAAGUAGAUUUUGUAAAGUAAAAAUGGCAAACCAACACAGUAGUAAUUGUUUAUCAUACAAGAGUAAUCAAAAAUAUCGUUACAAUCAAACUUGUUUUAACAUUACAAUAAAUAUAGACCAAAUAAUAUGCAAAAUUAUUAACAUGAUGCAGGCUGAAUUGGGUAAUUGACCUUUUUAUGUUUGAAAAUGAGGUCAUGUCAUUUACAACAUGUGGAAGCAUAUCCAGAUCCUUUUUAAAGUUUAUAAACCAAUUUAUUUGCAUGAUUAUAUGGUUUGUAGCAUUUUGCUUUUUUUUUUCUCCCUGCUGUCUAUAGAGAACAGUCCUAUUACCCAAUUUUGCAUUGCAAAUCACUGUAAUAUACAUUAUAUACACUGAAUACACAAUAUAUUCAUUAUUGAAUAUUGUAGAGUGUAACUGGAAAAAGCAGAAUAAAUAGAAUAAGAUUAUAUAAAAGAGCAAACAAGUGAAUUUAGAGCAUUUUUUUUCCAAUUAGCAUUAAAGUGAGAAUUUUAAUUUCCCAAAUGACUAAAGUAUAGUGAAAUAUUUUUCGUAUAUAACACAAGUAAAGAUUUUUUUUUCUUAUUCUUUUAACCCAAAGACUGACGUGGCACCAUAUUAUGCAUCUUAAAAUUCAAUAUAUUGCCGGGCAAUCAAAUAUGAGAGAUCUAUAAAUGUUUUUAUUUUGAUGGGGUUUUUUUUUUUUUUCUCUCUUUAGAAAGAGUUGGUAAGUACAUCAUUCGUAUGGUCUUGUUUUUUGAGUUUUUAUUUUCUGGCAACAGUCAUUGGCCUCUUGUUUAAUUUCCAUUUUUCCAGAUCUGAAAAUAAUUAAAUCAGCAAACAAAUAAUUAAUUGAGUCAAUGAGAACAAUUAGUUCAAAGACGCCUUUGAGAAUUGGUCGUGCAUAGUGAAUUGGUUAAUUAUCAUACUACAAAAUAAUUAAGUGGAAGAGCUCUCUGCAUGUGUGAUACUGCAUGUGAGUAGUAUUGACUUCUUUUGCAUAUGAGAAGAAAUGGAAACGUUCUGUGGAUGUUAAAGGUUCUUAAUGAAACCAUCAAUUCUUAUAAAGAAACUUUAGUUUUAAGAGUGUAUGCUGCUCUUUACAGUCCCCAUCCACUUUCAUUAUAUGGAAAAGAGCAGCAUGAAUAUUUGUCAAAACAUCUCCAUUUGUGUUCCACAGAAGAAAGAAGGUUAUACAUGUUUGAGGGUCAUCAAAACCUGGAUUGAUUUUUUUAUUUACUCUAAUCAUUGCACAUAACUGUCUUGCAUUGGCCCUUGACAAAAGUAAUGCAAUGACACCCAUGUUAAACUCCAUUAUAAUGCGUACUGAAGGUUGUGACACUAAUCUCAGUGACCUACACGGCCCAUACAUCAGAGCGCGUCUAUCUGCUGACAGCGUGCUGUAUCUAGGGGCCCAUGCUGCCGGAGGAGCCACGAGGCAGAGCGAUCGGAGCCGUCGCUGUAACCCUGUCCGAAGUCGGAGAUCAUUACCCCCGUGACUGAUGUGCGGGGCGGCCCAGAGUGAGCGCGUUUAUUUCCCUACGCAGGGGUGGGUGUCUCGGCCCCAUGAGGAGGACAGCCCUUCACGUUUUGUUAGCGUGGUCAUGGCUCUCACGUUAAAUCGAGGCCCUCUAGCGCACAUACGCCUCAGCUUAUUCUCCAUCCUUAUUUUAAGAAUCAUCCUUCUGUGGAUGCUGUGCUUAAUUUUAUGAGAGAGCAGAUAUAUUGCUGUCAUUUUGACAGCAUAUAAAAAAUAAUAGCUGUUAAG